AUCCCAUCAUCAGAACUCGAGCCUGACAAAAAUGUUUCUUGAAAACCUAACUUGCUUAACUAACAUAACGAAGAGGACAAAUCGCCAAACGUGAACUAUGCGUCAUUGAAGAGUUCCGUUCUGAUCAUCAUCAGCAGUUCCACUUCAUCAAAUGUCACUUUUUUAAAUGUAAGUGCUUGAUUUGUUGAUGAAAAUACUAAAAUCACUAUAUGUAUGCCUUUAAAAUUUGAGGAGUUCCCUCGAUUCCUCAUGGAUCCCAUCAUCAGAACUGCUUUUUGACGAAAACGGGACCAAUCUCACAUGCAUUGUAAAAGAAUUUUCAAAAUCGGUCCAGAAAUGACGGAGUUAUGAAGUAACAAACAUU